rnacentral:rRNA from 1 species
UACGUAGGGCGCAAGCGUUGUCCGGAAUUAUUGGGCGUAAAGAGCUCGUAGGCGGCUUGUCACGUCGGGUGUGAAAGCCCGGGACUUAACCCCGGGUCUGCAUUCGAUACGGGCUAGCUAGAGUGUGGUAGGGGAGAUCGGAAUUCCUGGUGUAGCGGUGAAAUGCGCAGAUAUCAGGAGGAACACCGGUGGCGAAGGCGGAUCUCUGGGCCAUUACUGACGCUUAGGAGCGAAAGCGUGGGGAGCGAACAGG